rnacentral:rRNA from 1 species
GAUGAACGCUGGCGGCGUGCCUAAUACAUGCCAGUCGAGCGAACAGACGAGGAGCUUGCUCCUCUGAUGUUAGCGGCGGACGGGUGAGUAACACGUGGAUAACCUACCUAUAAGACUGGGAUAACUUCGGGAAACCGGAGCUAAUACCGGAUAAUAUAUUGAACCGCAUGGUUCAAUAGUGAAAGACGGUUUUGCUGUCACUUAUAGAUGGAUCCGCGCCGCAUUAGCUAGUUGGUAAGGUAACGGCUUACCAAGGCGACGAUGCGUAGCCGACCUGAGAGGGUGAUCGGCCACACUGGAACUGAGACACGGUCCAGACUCCUACGGGAGGCAGCAGUAGGGAAUCUUCCGCAAUGGGCGAAAGCCUGACGGAGCAACGCCGCGUGAGUGAUGAAGGUCUUCGGAUCGUAAAACUCUGUUAUUAGGGAAGAACAAAUGUGUAAGUAACUAUGCACGUCUUGACGGUACCUAAUCAGAAAGCCACGGCUAACUACGUG